GAUGAAUGCUAGCGGCGUGCUUGAGAUAUGCAAGUCGAGCGCCCCGCUCAAUUCCCGCAAGGGGGUUGAACGGGAGCGGCGGACGGCUGAGUAAUAUACAGGAACCUGCCCCUAGGUAGAGUAUAGCUCCGAGAAAUCGGGGGUAAUACUUUAUGGUUCCCGCCUUUGGCGGGAUAAAGAGCGUAACUGCUCGCCAAGGGAUGGGCCUGUAUCCUAUCAGGUAGUUGGUAAGGUAACGGCUUACCAAGCCAAUGACGGGUAGCUGAUCUUAGAGGAUGAUCAGCCAGAGGGGGACUGAGACACGGCCCCCACUCCUACGGGUGACAG
rnacentral:rRNA from 1 species